UACGGUGCUACACAGGCUGGGCCGCUACUCCCGUGACAAAAUCCCUGAUCUGCUGUUAGCUGGGCCUCGAAUCUUUCCUGUGUGAUCAAUUCAUCCACGCGAUCUCUCUGCAUCCCCGCUCCCCUUCUUCCUUCCACUCGUGCCCUAGGCCUAAUCGCCGUACUGACGAUGACGGCUAGUGAUGCUUUGGGUUGCUGCCACCACCCCUACUGCUCCCGGUCCCUCUGGUUGUGUUCAUCAAGGUUCCAGUCAACUGAUUCAGGCAAAUGUUGGGUGUUGGUACUCAUCGAGCCGCCGAUCUUCAAUCCGAUCCAUUCAAGUCAAGCUUGACUGAUCGAUGCAGGGCGAACCAAGGCGGGCCUGACUGAUUGAUGCAGGGCGAAGCAAGGCCGGGCUCAAUUUUUGUUGGUUCUAUCGAUGGCGGUAACGGCCUCGCUCGACUCUUCCUUGGCGUUGACACUUGACAUGCGGUGGAUUUUCACGUCCCUAUGCGCCUUCCUCUAAUCACUAGUUUAACAUGGAUUGAUUGGUCGAGGAGAGUAUGUCAACAAGAUAUGAUGCUAGAAACAUGGAGUUCCCCAGGGAGUCAGCUCGAUGUACUACAGUAACCUCGGCUGAUCUUAUCUUCGCAACCUCUGAAUGGCUUUACGACUUGCAAAUUAGGAUCCCUGAUUAUAUUGCUAUGUUUUGAUACAUGGUUGUACCUUCCGAAACCUGUGUUGGAUGCUUCGGGUGUUGUCUUCCUCAAUGAGAAAUCGUUCCAUGCACCCGGCAACAGUGAGAACAGACUUCAGAACUUAUGUUAGAACAGUCUUAACUGGAACAGAAUUAACUAAACUCUUGGUCCGAUAUGUAAUUUGUGAUAAAAUCUUACCUUCUUUUGGUUUUCUAACAAAUGUCUUGGCUCUGUUUUGUUUGGAGCCACCCGGUAGUUCUAUGCUGCUGCACAAAUACAUUGUGCUUUUUAGGACUGAAUUUUUUUCAUCGUAUCAAUUCUUCUGGAUGAUGUUCUAUUUGCUCAUUUUUUAAACUCAUGGAAUGAAAACAUUUUAUUCUCAACUCUAAUUUUAAAACUGGAUAUGUUUUUUCAUUACCAGAAAAUAUUCUGCUCUCUCAUUUCCAACCAAAAUAUAUAUCUUUAGUAAGUAUUUAACUUUCACCUUGCAUACCUUCAUGCAUUUUAUAAAUUCGUACUGUUCCAUAUACUCGUAUAAAUUCCUGUAUUAAGGUAGUCUUUAAUGCGAUCGAUUAUCUAACUUUUCUCCUGCUCUGUUUACAAGUAUGCAGGGCUCAUAUCUGAAGUAUGGUCGAAGCAUUGCUGUUAGGCAAGGUGGUUAAUUGUGUCCAGAUUAUUGAUGGGUGGUUUUCAUCCUUAACUGUAGCUUCACCAAAGUUGGAUUGUUGCACGCUUGCAGAUACGCGUAGUUUCAGUUUGGCUUGUGAUAUUGGUAUUUUAUAAAAAAUAAUUCCACACUUGAUGUAGAAAGAUCAUUCCGAAAUGAGCACGUUCCAUGUAAUCUGGGUGGCACUCAACCAUAUAUUCUAUGUACAGAACUCUCCGUUUGCACAACACUGGAACAUUGGUAACAUAUUUUGACUCCGGUAUUUCCUCUCUGGUCUGAUGUACGUCAUCUCAGUCUACGGAAAAUAAAAGUUUACCCAAAUUAUUAUAGAACCGAUUAAUUAAAAUUUCCAUUUGACUUCCAUCUUUACCCAUUGGCUUAUUUUAGUGAUGUUGAAUAUGGUUACUGCUUCCAUUUUUUCUCCCAUGAACAGAUGAAGCUUCGAUAAUUUGUGAACCUGCAUGCUGCUAUGGUGUUCCACCAAAUUGGAAAUAUGUUCCUACAUUUCCAUGGAAGUGUUUCGUGUAUUUCGUAUGCUUUGAUUUACAAUUAGCUUGGCAAUUACAUCAAUCAGGGUGCACGGACAUUGAACUAUAGAGAGUAUGCAUUUAAUAGAUUAUUGAAGCUCUUAUGAAGUAGCGAUUGACUAAAACCAGGGGCAAGAUGAGGAUUUGUUUGCUUGAACAACAGAGAUUGCUUGGAUUAAGUGGGGUGAAGAUGUUCUUGUUGUCUAUAUCUGAAAUGAAAAACCUGAUGAAGAUCCUUCUGAGGAAAGGCGUUAGAUGUGCCUCUUCUCGCACUGCACAGGGCCAUCAACAGAGAAGCUAAACAAGCAACACUGCAGUAGGAAAAACAAUGAUACACGGCGCUCUCCCAGUGUGCGCGCCCAAUAUAAUGUAAAAAUGGUAGUAGCUUCUUGUUAUUCAGAAAGUAAAUGUAGACAUUUGUUGUAAGAUUCCAGUACAGGUAAGAUUUUGAGGUGAGAUAGUAGCCGUGUUAUAUUUAUAAAACAAAGUUCUGUACUCAGUCUAAUGUUUCGUGCCUCACGAAUGAAUUCAGGUAAAGGCAACAACUGCUAGCUGCUCUGCCGCAGGUGCAAAGACAAACUUAAUCCUUUGCCGAAAACAAUUGCACUACGCACUAGCACAAUCACCUGUAGGCAGGGGUGAAGCCAGUAGUCAAUGGGUCAUCUCCAUACUCCAGGUUCAGCAUUAAUUACUAUAGAUUAGUGUGGUAUUGCCGAAAACAAUAGUACCAAGCACGAACACAAUCACCUGAGUAUAUUACAUUGGGUAUACCACUGAUUACUAUUUGAUUAGCAUCAAUUUCUAUAGGUUUUGAAGGCAAGAGAUUCAAAGUCGGGCUGUAAUCUCAUUGGGGUCGUUUCUUAUCAUCAUUGGGGACUGCAUGUUUUCAACAGACCAUUUUUAUCUCAUAUCCAGUAGUUUUGAUGGCAAAUAGACACUGCUUUACUUUAACUUUUUUGUGUGGGCGUGUCCUUUUAUUACGUUGGAACUUGGAAGUGGUAUGUUGGUGUUGCAUUUGUGACACUAAAAGUUGUACUUGCUAAUGAUACCAGGUGGUAUCUUGAGAAUGUGUUAUUUCCUUGAAAUAAUCACCAUUGUUUUGUCACUUGGUCUUUAUCACAUAUUGGUAUACACUAGAACAUAGUAACAGGCUUGCCGAUCAAAACAUCUG